rnacentral:rRNA from 1 species
UACAGAGGUCCCGAGCGUUGUUCGGAUUCACUGGGCGUAAAGGGUGCGCAGGUGGGCUGGUAAGUUCGAUGUGAAAGCCCCGGGCUUAACCCGGGAACGGCAUUGGAUACUACUGGUCUGGAGGAUUGGAGGGGGGACUGGAAUUCUUGGUGUAGUAGUGAAAUGCGUAGAUAUCAAGAGGAACACCAGUGGCGAAGGCGAGUCCCUGGACAAUACCUGACGCUGAGGCACGAAAGCCGGGGGAGCAAACAGG